rnacentral:rRNA from 1 species
UGAGGAAUAUUGGUCAAUGGACGCAAGUCUGAACCAGCCAAGUAGCGUGCAGGAUGACGGCCCUAUGGGUUGUAAACUGCUUUUAUAUGGGGAUAAAGUGGGGAACGUGUUCCCUUUUGCAGGUACCAUAUGAAUAAGGACCGGCUAAUUCCGUGCCAGCAGCCGCGGUAAUACGGAAGGUCCAGGCGUUAUCCGGAUUUAUUGGGUUUAAAGGGAGCGUAGGCUGUUUGUUAAGCGUGUUGUGAAAUGUAAGAGCUCAACUUUUAGAUUGCAGCGCGAACUGGCAGACUUGAGUGCGCACAACGUAGGCGGAAUUCAUGGUGUAGCGGUGAAAUGCUUAGAUAUCAUGACGAACUCCGAUUGCGAAGGCAGCUUACGGGAGCGCAACUGACGCUAAAGCUCGAAGGUGCGGGUAUCGAACAGG